CACGUAGUUAGCCGGGGCUUCUUAGUCAGGUACCGUCAUUUUCUUCCCUGCUGAUAGAGCUUUACAUACCGAAAUACUUCCUCACUCACGCGGCGUCGCUGCAUCAGGGUUUCCCCCAUUGUGCAGUAUUCCCCACUGCUGCCUCCCGUAGGAGUUUGGGCCGUGUCUCAGUCCCAAUGUGGCCGGUCGCCCUCUCAGGUCGGCUACUGAUCGUCGGUUUGGUGGGCCGUUACCCCACCAACUGCCCUAAUCAGACGCGGGCCCAUCUUGCACCACCUCGGUUUUUACCUCCGCCCCAUGCGGGGCUGUGGUCUUAUGCGGUAUUAGCAGUCAUUUCUAACUGUUAUCCCCCUGUGCAAGGCAGGUUGCCCACGCGUUACUCACCCGUCCGCCGCUCAGUCACUAUAUUCUUCUUCCCGUAGGCUUCCAAUUACAGUGCUUCGCUCGACUUGCAUGUGUUAAGCACGCCGCCAGCGUUCAUCCUGAGCCAGGAUCAAACUCU
rnacentral:rRNA from 1 species